ACCCGUCUAGCUCAGUCGGUAGAGCGCUGGCCUUUUAAGCCAGUGGUCGUGGGUUCGAGCCCCACGGGGGGUG
rfam:Phytophthora infestans T30-4 supercont1.10 genomic scaffold, whole genome shotgun sequence.